rnacentral:rRNA from 1 species
GACGAACGCUGGCGGCGUGCUUAACACAUGCAAGUCGAACGGAAAGGCCCUGCUUUUGUGGGGUGCUCGAGUGGCGAACGGGUGAGUAACACGUGAGUAACCUGCCCUUGACUUUGGGAUAACUUCAGGAAACUGGGGCUAAUACCGGAUAGGAGCUCCUGCUGCAUGGUGGGGGUUGGAAAGUUUCGGCGGUUGGGGAUGGACUCGCGGCUGAUCAGCUUGUUGGUGGGGUAGUGGCUGACCAAGGCUUUGACGGGUAGCCGGCCUGAGAGGGUGACCGGCCACAUUGGGACUAAGAUACGGCCCAGGCUCCUACGGGAGGCAGCAGUGGGGAAUAUUGCACAAUGGGCGGAAGCCUGAUGCAGCAACGCCGCGUGCGGGAUGACGGCCUUCGGGUUGUAAACCGCUUUCGCCUGUGACGAAGCGUGAGUGACGGUAAUGGGUAAAGAAGCACCGGCUAACUACGUG